rnacentral:rRNA from 1 species
GUGUCAGCCGCCGCGGUAAGACGAACCGUCCAAACGUUAUUCGGAAUCACUGGGCUUAAAGGGUGCGUAGGCUGCCCGGUAAGUUGGGUGUGAAAGCCCUCGGCUUAACCGAGGAAUUGCGCCCAAAACUGUCGGGCUCGAGGAAGAUAGAGGUGAGCGGAACUAAGGGUGGAGCGGUGAAAUGCGUUGAUAUCCUUAGGAACACCAGUAGCGAAAGCGGCUCACUGGGUCUUCUCUGACGCUGAGGCACGAAAGCUAGGGGAGCGAACGGGAUUAGAAACCCCAGUAGUCC